rnacentral:lncRNA from 1 species
GGGAGGUAGGCUGAGAUCUCACUCCACCCGCACCAGCCUUGAGCAUCAUUCAUUUCAAUCAUGCUGAUUUAUGUGUGUCCACUGCAAAUUUUUUUAUUAUUAUUUAUUUAUUUGUUUAUUUUUAGAUGGAGUCUCGCUCUGUCGCCCAGGCUGGAGUGCAGUGGCGAGAUAUGGGCUCACUGCAACCUCCACCUCCCGGGUUCAAGUGAUACUCCUGCCUCAGCUUCCCGAGGAGCUAGGAUUACAGCUUAACUGCAUGAAAUUUAUCUCCUGGGAAGUGUAAAAACAUGAACCCAGUGAACGUGGUCGAGAACCCUAUUCAACAAAGCUGAAGACAGCCACCCUUUAGGGGAUGCAGACUAACAAGAGAGAGGAAACCUGUGUGCCUAGUACCAUGGAGCCCCAGAGCAGCUGUGGACUGUGUAUAAUCAGACUGUUGUGGAGGGAGAAAUAAACUUCAUCUUGUUUAAACUGUG